rnacentral:ncRNA from 1 species
UGUUCCAGAAUAAUCGGCUAGACUAGUAAAGCUUGAACUUUAUUUUUGUGAAAGCAUGAUUUUAUUUUUUUUUUUUUAGGUUUUAGGUAAAAUUUUAAUUUAUUUUUGGGAUAGUGUUGUGUUUUUAAGAUUUGUUAUUUGAAUUAGAUYAGUACCUAAUUAGUCAAAAUUUAAAAUUUCAGGAGUAGAGUUGUAUUUAAACUGAAAGAAUAUUGGCAGAUUUCUUAAAUUAUCUUUGGAGGUUGAGUGGUAAUUGAGAGCCCUCAUUAUCUACUUUUUUUUUAGGCUCAUGUAUGAUCGUUUAUUUUAUGCUUGAGGUUUAGGAGUUAAUUUUGUUAGGUUGUAAAAAUAGAUAUAUAUUUGGUUUAUAAGUGAAGUUUUAUUUGACCUACAUUGUUUAUGAAGUUGGAUUAUUGAUUUAGUGUCAAUAUGAAAUUGUAAAAGACAGUAAAGAGGUUUUUAUGUUYUCUUGAAGAUUAUUUGAGAGUGGUACAAAUCAUCCAUCAAUUGCCUAAAGGGGAGUAAGUUGUAGUAAAGUAGAA